GGGCCUCUGCGAGAUGCUAUUUAUAGGCCACACGUCGUUCUUGUCGGUCUCAUUCUUCGUUGCUCUGGGUUUAAGGUACUUGGAUACAUACGAAAAAACGGGAGUAUACGCUCUUUUAAGAAUGUGGCUAAUCUCAAGGCUGUUUGCACUUUGGAGCCAGGCCUGUUCAAUUUUACACAGGGCACAUUUUGCUUGUAGUCAGGGUUCUGUGACAACGUGAAGAGUUCAAACUGCCUCCCAGGGUGACUGCAGGAUUUCCUGGUGGAGAAUCUGACAUUCAAAGGUUCUGAUAGCAGUGCCAUACUUGUUGGUUCUAAGAUACCAUGUCUGACUGAGCAAGGAGCCAUGCCAGGAAAAUUUAACAGCAUAACUUCAAGUACAGGCUAAAACAAGGUCUGAGGAGAACAUCUGCACAUGAAAGGAACUGAAAUCAUCCAAGGUAUGACCGACCGCCCAGGCCAGUGUCAGCACAGCGAGCUCGUGGAAUACAGCCUGUUUAUUGAUUGCUUAUGGGUUUUCAGCUCCCCAGUAGUAUCAGUUGCACUUAAAUUAGAAUGGUUAAUCUUUCCAAGCAUUAUUGCUAGAGCAGAUUAAUAUGUCUGAUUCAUUUCACUGUAAGAUCACUUUAAGAUAAAUCUCUGCAAUUCCAAACUUCCCCUCAUUGCUUACCACAUUAACUAUAGAAGCUUGAUAUCUGGUCCUUUCACUGUUAUUUGUAGUUGUAUUUUUGAUCCUAGCAAUAAAUGUUCUUCAUGCUA